UUUCCAUUAGUCUUGUAGUUUUUGAACUAAACGUAUUGCUGGAAGGUAGAUAGUCACUAGAUGGCAGUGCAGAACCUACCAUUGUUAAUCAAUGGCAUAGUCAGUAGGUGUCAAAUGGCGUUUCGGUAUUCAUUACGUAAUGGAUAAUGGAAAUGUUUUUGUUUAUUAGAUAAUUUUCAUUCAAGAUGAAUGUUAAAAUCCACUUGAUUGCGACAGGACCAGGAUGUAAAUGGGACUAUGUCAUCACCUUUCAAAUUAUUAGUAGAGUACAAUCAAUUGAAUACCAUCAAUGAAUACCAUCAAUUCCCCAGAAGGAAAGAUAGGAGAAGAACCAUAGUCUGGCUUGUACCAAACUGGAUUGUACCAAACUGUGAAAGAAAUCAUGUGUCUGUUACUGAAACUGGCUCUCUCUGUUUGUGACAUCUGACCUUACAGUGUGUCACUCUGAAGCAGAGCUCCUGAAAUGAGAUUGAACGUUUUGAACCAUCUCAUGCCAAAGCUCAAGUUAAGAAGCAUUUAAAAGAGGUGGCUUUUUGGUUAGAGUUUCUUCGACAUCCGAUGCCAUGCAGAUCCUGCCGAGCGAUCUGAAUAUAUUUUAGCGCUCAGUCGGAACGGUGUUCACUUCCUCGACGUAAUAGGUCACGUAAUUAAAUAACAUUGUGCUUCACAAAACUUUAAUCUUAAAGUUUUAAUAGAAAAAUUUGAUAAAUAAUCAUUAUCUCUAGGCCG